rnacentral:rRNA from 1 species
GCAGGCUGCAACUCGCCUGCAUGAAGUCGGAAUCGCUAGUAAUCGCGGAUCAGCAUGCCGCGGUGAAUACGUUCCCGGGCCUUGUACACACCGCCCGUCACACCAUGGGAGUCGGUAACACCCGAAGCCAGUAGCCUAACCGCAAGGAGGGCGCUGUCGAAGGUGGGAUUGAUGACUGGGGUGAAGUCGUAACAAGGUACC